rnacentral:rRNA from 1 species
UACAGAGGUCUCAAGCGUUGUUCGGAUUUAUUGGGCGUAAAGGGCGCGUAGGCGGCGGGGUAAGUCGGGGGUGAAAUCUCAAGGCUCAACCCUGAAACUGCACUUGAUACUGCUCUGCUUGAGGACUGGAGAGGAGACUGGAAUUCACGGUGUAGCAGUGAAAUGCGUAGAUAUCGUGAGGAAGACCAGUGGCGAAGGCGGGUCUCUGGACAGUUCCUGACGCUGAGGCGCGAAGGCCAGGGGAGCAAACGGG